AACGAACGCUGGCGGCAUGCCUAACACAUGCAAGUCGAACGAUUGCCUUCGGGUGAUAGUGGCGCACGGGUGCGUAACGCGUGGGAAUCUGCCCUUAGGUUCGGAAUAACAGCUGGAAACGGCUGCUAAUACCGGAUGAUAUCGCGAGAUCAAAGAUUUAUCGCCUGAGGAUGAGCCCGCGUUGGAUUAGGUAGUUGGUGGGGUAAAGGCCUACCAAGCCGACGAUCCAUAGCUGGUCUGAGAGGAUGAUCAGCCACACCGGGACUGAGACACGGCCCAGACUCCUACGGGAGGCAGCAGUGGGGAAUAUUGGACAAUGGGCGCAAGCCUGAUCCAGCAAUGCCGCGUGAGUGAUGAAGGCCCUAGGGUUGUAAAGCUCUUUUACCCGGGAAGAUAAUGACUGUACCGGGAGAAUAAGCCCCGGCUAACUCCGU
rnacentral:rRNA from 1 species